CAGGGGGCACCUGCAUCCAGCCAUUCCGCGUGAGUGAAGAAGGCCUUCGGGUUGUAAAGCUCUUUCGCAAGGGAAGAAAACUUAUGAUCGAAUAAAUCAUGAGGUUGACGGUACCUGAUAAGAAGCACCGGCUAACUACGUGCCAGCAGCCGCGGUAAUACGUAGGGUGCGAGCGUUAAUCGGAAUUACUGGGCGUAAAGCGUGCGCAGGCGGUUUUGUAAGACAGAGGUGAAAUCCCCGGGCUCAACCUGGGAACUGCCUUUGUGACUGCAAGGCUAGAGUGCGGCAGAGGGGGAUGGAAUUCCGCGUGUAGCAGUGAAAUGCGUAGAUAUGCGGAGGAACACCGAUGGCGAAGGCAAUCCCCUGGGCCUGCACUGACGCUCAUGCACGAAAGCGUGGGGAGCAAACAGGAUUAGAUACCNC
rnacentral:rRNA from 1 species